rnacentral:rRNA from 1 species
UACCAGCACCCCGAGUGGUCGGGACGAUUAUUGGGCCUAAAGCAUCCGUAGCCGGUUUUACAAGUCCUCCGUUAAAUCCAACUGCUUAACAGAUGGGCCGCGGAGGAUACUAUAAGACUAGGAGGCGGGAGAGGCAAGCGGUACUUAGUGGGUAGGGGUAAAAUCCGUUGAUCCAUUGAAGACCACCAGUGGCGAAGGCGGCUUGCCAGAACGCACUCGACGGUGAGGGAUGAAAGCUGGGGGAGCAAACCGG